rnacentral:rRNA from 1 species
GCACAAGCGGUGGAGCAUGUGGAUUAAUUCGAUGCAACGCGAAGAACCUUACCUGGGUUUGACAUGCACAGGACGUGCCUAGAGAUAGGUAUUCCCUUGUGGCCUGUGUGCAGGUGGUGCAUGGCUGUCGUCAGCUCGUGUCGUGAGAUGUUGGGUUAAGUCCCGCAACGAGCGCAACCCUUGUCUCAUGUUGCCAGCGCGUUAUGGCGGGGACUCGUGAGAGACUGCCGGGGUCAACUCGGAGGAAGGUGGGGAUGACGUCAAGUCAUCAUGCCCCUUAUGUCCAGGGCUUCACACAUGCUACAAUGGCCGGUACAAACCGCUGCAAACCCGCGAGGGGGAGCUAAUCGGAAAAAGCCGGCCUCAGUUCGGAUUGGAGUCUGCAACUCGACUCCAUGAAGCUGGAAUCGCUAGUAAUCGUGGAUCAGCAUGCCACGGUGAAUACGUUCCCGGGC